ACGGAAGGCCGCAGUGAGGAAUAUUGGUCAAUGGGCGGAAGCCUGAACCAGUCAAGUCGCGUGAAGGAUGAAGGUAUUAUGUAUUGUAAACUUCUUUAGCAGUGGAGUAAUAAGGAGCUCGUGAGCUCUGAUGCAAGUACACUGAAAAUAAGGAUCGGCUAACUCCGUGCCAGCAGCCGCGGUAAUACGGAGGAUCCGAGCGUUAUCCGGAUUUAUUGGGUUUAAAGGGUGCGCAGGCGGCCUUGUAAGUCAGCGGUUAAAUCGUGGAGCUCAACGCCAUCCCGCCGUUGAUACUGCAGGGCUUGAGUGCGGUUGAGGUUGGCGGAAUUCGUCGUGUAGCGGUGAAAUGCAUAGAUAUGACAAAGAACACCGAUUGCGUAGGCAGCUGACCAAGCAGUAAAGGACGCUCAUGCACGAAAGUGCGGGGAUCGAACAGGAUUAGAUACCCUGGUA
rnacentral:rRNA from 1 species